AGAAUCAACGCUGGCGGCGUGCCUAACACAUGCAAGUCGAACGAGAAAGUGGAGCAAUCCAUGAGUAAAGUGGCGCACGGGUGAGUAACACGUGACUAACCUACCUUUUAGUGGGGGAUAACCUAGGGAAACCUGGGCUAAUACCGCAUAAUACCUACGGGUCAAAGCAGCAAUGCGCUGAAAGAGGGGGUCGCGGUCGAUUAGUUAGUUGGCAGGGUAAUGGCCUACCAAGACUGUGAUCGAUAUCCGGCCUGAGAGGGCGCACGGACACACUGGAACUGAAACACGGUCCAGACUCCUACGGGAGGCAGCAGUGGGAAUUUUGCGCAAUGGGGGAAACCCUGACGCAGCAACGCCGCGUGGAGGAUGAAGUCCCUUGGGACGUAAACUCCUUUCGAUCGGGACGAUAAUGACGGUACCGGAAGAAGAAGCCCCGGCUAACUUCGUGCCAGCAGCCGC
rnacentral:rRNA from 1 species